rnacentral:snRNA from 1 species
AGCUUUGCACAGUUGCAGUAUCGUAGCCAAUGAGGUUUAUCCAAGGUGUGAUUAUUGCUAAUUUAGAAAUAAUAAUAAUAAUAAUAAUAAAACUAUUAUGAUACCAUAACACUGUG